UCCUGCCGGACCCUACUGCUAUCGGGAUGGGACUAAGACAUGCUAGUCGUGCGCUUCUAAGCCAUGGUGGAGGCGCGGCGCACAGCUCAGUAACACGUGGCUAACCUGCCCUCGGGACGGGAACACCCCCGGGAAACUGGGGCUAAUUCCCGAUAGGUGAAGAACUCUGGAAUGAGUCUCCGCCCAAAAGACGUUCAGGUCAUGCUCCUGAAUGCCGCCCAAGGAUGGGCCGCGACCGAUCAGGUUGUUGGUGAGGUAAUGGCUCACCAAGCCUUUAACCGGUUCGGGCCGUGGGAGCGGGAGCCCGGAGAUGGGCACUGAGACAAGGGCCCAGGUCCUACGGGGCGCAGCAGUCGCGAAAACUCCGCAAUACGCGAAGGCGUGACGGGGCUAUCCCGAGUGCCGUCCGCUGAGGAUGGCUUUUCCCCAGUGUAGAUAGCUGGGGGAAUAAGGAGAGGGCAAGUCUGGUGUCAGCCGCCGCGGUAAUACCAGCUCUCCGAGUGGUGGGGACGUUUAUUGGGCCUGAAGCAUCCGUAGCCAGCUGAGCAAGUCCCCAGUUAAAUCCAGCGAUUUAAUCGUUGGACUGCUGGGGAUACUGUCCGGCUUGGGGGUGGG
rnacentral:rRNA from 1 species